rnacentral:rRNA from 1 species
GAUGAACGCUGGCGGCGUGCCUAAUACAUGCAAGUCGAGCGAACGGACGAGAAGCUUGCUUUUCUGACGUUAGCGGCGGACGGGUGAGUAACACGUGGAUAACCUACCUAUAAGACUGGGAUAACUUCGGGAAACCGGAGCUAAUACCGGAUAAUAUAUUGAACCGCAUGGUUCAAUAGUGAAAGACGGUUUUGCUGUCACUUAUAGAUGGAUCCGCGCUGCAUUAGCUAGUUGGUAAGGUAACGGCUUACCAAGGCAACGAUGCAUAGCCGACCUGAGAGGGUGAUCGGCCACACUGGAACUGAGACACGGUCCAGACUCCUACGGGAGGCAGCAGUAGGGAAUCUUCCGCAAUGGGCGAAAGCCUGACGGAGCAACGCCGCGUGAGUGAUGAAGGUCUUCGGAUCGUAAAACUCUGUUAUUAGGGAAGAACAAAUGUGUAAGUAACUGUGCACAUCUUGACGGUACCUAAUCAGAAAGCCACGGCUAACUACGUG